rnacentral:sRNA from 1 species
AUGCGAGGAAUUCAAUGUUUCGUAUUUUGCGCUUUACUUUACUCCAUUCAGGUUGACGCUUUCGGCUUCUGUUCUCUUGAUAGCGAAUGUCCCGACAAUGCCGAAUGUGAUGAUAAUGGUAACGAUAACUUUGCAACGGUAACGUCAGCUACAAGCACUCUUGGUUCAUUAUAUGAAUGCGAGUAUUUGGGCAUCUGCAGUCCAUUUGACAGCGAAGUCGAUGACUGCGGAGAAAAUGGACAAUCCAGGAUGAACAUGGAAUAUAUAAAGCUAAGUAAUCCAAACUCAAACUACUACUACAACACCAUACUCGACGAAGGGCACGACCAAGAGUUUUACACCGUGUGUCCUUCUUGGAGGAGGAGCAAUUCUGCUUGCUGUUCUCGCCGGAAGAGCUGCAGCCGCGGCGUCCUCAUCUGGCUAGGUGUCCUCAAGAUCCUCAACAAAUGA